rnacentral:rRNA from 1 species
GACGAACGCUGGCGGCGUGCUUAACACAUGCAAGUCGAACGGAAAGGCCCUGCUUUUGUGGGGUGCUCGAGUGGCGAACGGGUGAGUAACACGUGAGUAACCUGCCCUUGACUUUGGGAUAACUUCAGGAAACUGGGGCUAAUACCGGAUAGGAGCUCCUGCUGCAUGGUGGGGGUUGGAAAGUUUCGGCGGUUGGGGAUGGACUCGCGGCUUAUCAGCUUGUUGGUGGGGUAGUGGCUUACCAAGGCUUUGACGGGUAGCCGGCCUGAGAGGGUGACCGGCCACAUUGGGACUGAGAUACGGCCCAGACUCCUACGGGAGGCAGCAGUGGGGAAUAUUGCACAAUGGGCGGAAGCCUGAUGCAGCAACGCCGCGUGCGGGAUGACGGCCUUCGGGUUGUAAACCGCUUUCGCCUGUGACGAAGCGUGAGUGACGGUAAUGGGUAAAGAAGCACCGGCUAACUACGUGCCAGCAGCCGCGGUGAUACGUAGGGUGCGGGCGUUGUCCGGAUUUAUUGGGCGUAAAGGGCUCGUAGGUGGUUGAUCGCGUCGGAAGUGUAAUCUUGGGGCUUAACCCUGAGCGUGCUUUCGAUACGGGUUGACUUGAGGAAGGUAGGGGAGAAUGGAAUUCCUGGUGGAGCGGUGGAAUGCGCAGAUAUCAGGAGGAACACCAGUGGCGAAGGCGGUUCUCUGGGCCUUUCCUGACGCUGAGGAGCGAAAGCGUGGGGAGCGAACAGGCUUAGAUACCCUGGUAGUCCACGCUGUAAACGGUGGGUACUAGGUGUGGGGUCCAUUCCACGGGUUCCGUGCCGUAGCUAACGCUUUAAGUACCCCGCCUGGGGAGUACGGCCGCAAGGCUAAAACUCAAAGGAAUUGACGGGGCCCCGCACAAGCGGCGGAGCAUGCGGAUUAAUUCGAUGCAACGCGUAGAACCUUACCUGGGUUUGACAUGGAUCGGGAGCGCUCAGAGAUGGGUGUGCCUCUUUUGGGGUCGGUUCACAGGUGGUGCAUGGCUGUCGUCAGCUCGUGUCGUGAGAUGUUGGGUUAAGUCCCGCAACGAGCGCAACCCUUGUUCACUGUUGCCAGCACGUUAUGGUGGGGACUCAGUGGAGACCGCCGGGGUCAACUCGGAGGAAGGUGGGGAUGACGUCAAGUCAUCAUGCCCCUUAUGUCCAGGGCUUCACGCAUGCUACAAUGGCUGGUACAGAGAGUGGCGAGCCUGUGAGGGUGAGCGAAUCUCGGAAAGCCGGUCUCAGUUCGGGUUGGGGUCUGCAACUCGACCUCAUGAAGUCGGAGUCGCUAGUAAUCGCAGAUCAGCAACGCUGCGGUGAAUACGUUCCCGGG